rnacentral:rRNA from 1 species
CCUACGGGAGGCAGCAGUAGGGAAUAUUGCUCAAUGGGGGAAACCCUGAAGCAGCAACGCCGCGUGGAGGAUGAAGGUUUUCGGAUUGUAAACUCCUUUUGUUAGAGAAGAUAAUGACGGUAUCUAACGAAUAAGCACCGGCUAACUCCGUGCCAGCAGCCGCGGUAAUACGGAGGUUGCAAGCGUUACUCGGAAUCACGGGGCGUAAAGAGCGCGUAGGCGGGAUAGCAGGUCAGAUGUGAAAUCCUAGGGCUUAACCAUAGAACUGCAUUUGAGACUGUUAUUCUAGAGUAUGGGGGAGGUAGGUGGAAUUCUUGGUGUAGGGGUAAAAUCCGUAGAGAUCAAGAGGAAUACUCAUUGCGAAGGCGACCUGCUAGAACAUAACUGACGCUGAUGCGCGAAAGCGUGGGGAGCAAACAGGAUUAGAUACCCGGGUAGUC